UCCCAUUUCUCAGCGGCGGACGGGUGAGUAACACGUGGGCAACCUGCCCUGCAGACUGGGAUAACUCCGGGAAACCGGAGCUAAUACCGGGUAAUACAUAGCAUCGCAUGAUGCAACGUUGAAAGUUGGCUUUCGAGCUAACACUGUAGGAGGGGCCCGCGGCGCAUUACCUAGUUGGUAAGGUAACGGCUUACCAAGGCCACAAUGCGUAGCCAACCUGAGAGGGUGAUCGGCCACACUGGGACUGAAACACGGCCCAAACUCCUACGGGAGGCAGCAUUAGGGAAUCUUCCGCAAUGGACAAAAGUCUGACGGAGCACCGCCCCGUGAGUGACAAAGGCCUUCGGGUCGUAAAGCUCUGUUGUUAGGGAAAAACAAGUACCGUUCGAAUAGGGCGGUACCUUGACGGUACCUAACCAAAAAGCCACGGCUAACUACUUGCCACCAGCCGCGGUAAUACUUAGGUGGCAAGCGUUGUCCGGAAUUAUUGGGCGUAAAGCGCGCGCAGGCGGUCUCUUAAUUCUGAUGUGAAA
rnacentral:rRNA from 1 species